GCGGCGUGCCUAAUACAUGCAGUCGAGCGAAUCUGAGGGAGCUUGCUCCCAAAGAUUAGCGGCGGACGGGUGAGUAACACGUGGGUAACCUGCCUGUAAGAUUGGGAUAACUCCGGGAAACCGGAGCUAAUACCGGAUAACAUUUCGAACCGCAUGGUUCGAAAUUGAAAGAUGGUUUCGGCUAUCACUUACAGAUGGACCCGCGGCGCAUUAGCUAGUUGGUGAGGUAACGGCUCACCAAGGCAACGAUGCGUAGCCGACCUGAGAGGGUGAUCGGCCACACUGGGACUGAGACACGGCCCAGACUCCUACGGGAGGCAGCAGUAGGGAAUCUUCCGCAAUGGACGAAAGUCUGACGGAGCAACCCCCGCGUGAACGAUGAAGGCCUUCGGGUCGUAAAGUUCUGUUGUUAGGGAAGAACAAGUACCAGAGUAACUGCUGGUACCUUGACGGUACCUAACCAGAAAGCCACGGCU
rnacentral:rRNA from 1 species